rnacentral:rRNA from 1 species
CCUACGGGAGGCAGCAGUGGGGAAUAUUGGACAAUGGGGGAAACCCUGAUCCAGCGACGCCGCGUGAGUGAAGAAGGAUUUCGGUACGUAAAGCUCUAUCAGCAGGAAAGAAAAUGACGGUACCUGACUAAGAAGCAUCGGAUAACUACGUGCCAGCAGCCGCGGUAAUACGUAGGGGGCAAGCGCUAUCCGGAUGUACUGGGUGUAAAGGGAGCGUAGGCGGCAGCGCAAGUCUGGAGUGAAAGGCCGGGGCUCAACCCCGGAACUGCUCUGGAAACUGUUAAGCUGGAGUGCAGGAGAGGUAAGCGGAAGUCCUGGUGUAGCGGUGAAAUGCGUAGAUAUCAGGAAGAACACCAGCGGCGAAGGCGGCUUACUGGACUGUAACCGACGUUGAGGCUCGAAGGCGUGGGGAGCGAACAGGAUUAGAUACCCGAGUAGUC